GUGGCGAGACUGUUAUCAAUCUUACAUUUUAGGAUAAGAAUUUUUGUCAUUUCUCAUAAAGAUUUAAAAAUUUUUACAAAUAUAUCUUAGCAGGAACAGGAUUUAAUUUUUAAAGGAAGAUAAAGUGCUAGUAGUUUAAGAUAAAAUUAAAGAUAAAAAUAUUGCAAUUCAGAAGAAAAAUGUUUAAAUAAAUAGACUGGUUUAUGUAAACAAUUCCGGCAAGAGGUAGUGAAUGACAGGACUCUGUUAAUUCCAAGCUGAUUGAAAGCUAAGGUUUCUGCACCUGUUCCAUAACUUCUGGGAUCUGUCUCUGUUGCUGCAAGUAUGCAUUCCGCCAUUGGCUUCUGAUCUCCCGACUGAGACUUU
rnacentral:lncRNA from 1 species